GACGAACGCUGGCGGCGUGCCUAACACAUGCAAGUCGCACGGAAAGGCCCUGCCCUUGUGGUGUGCUCGAGUGGCGAAAGGGUGAGUAACACGUGGGUAACCUGCCCUUAACUUCGGGAUAAUUCGACGAAUCUGGGGUUAAUCCCGGAUAGGAGCUCCUGCUGCAUGGUGGGGGUUGGAACGUCUCGGCGGGUGGGGACGGUUACGCGGCUUAUCAGCUUGCUGGUGGGGUAGUGGCCUACCAAAGCCUUGACGGGUAGCGUGCCUGGGCGGGUGACCGGCCACGUUGGGACUGAGAUACGACCCAGACUGCUACGGGACGCAGCAGUGGAGAAGAUUGCACAAUGGGCGGAGGCCAGAUGCAGCAACGCCGCGUGCGGGAUGACGAGCUUCGGGUUGUAAAGCGCUGUCGCCUGUGACGAAACGUGAGUGACGGUAAUGGGUAAAGAAGCACCGGCUAACUACGUG
rnacentral:rRNA from 1 species